rnacentral:pre_miRNA from 13 species
CAGAGCUGUGGAGUGUGACAAUGGUGUUUGUGUCCUUUCUUUCAAACGCCAUUAUCACACUAAAUAGCUACAGU